UGGGGGAAUUUUGGACAAUGGGCGAAAGCCUGAUCCAACAAUGCCGCGUGUGUGAAGAAGGCCUUCGGGUUGUAAAGCACUUUUGUCCGGAAAGAAAUCCUUGGCUCUAAUACAGUCGGGGGAUGACGGUACCGGAAGAAUAAGCACCGGCUAACUACGUGCCAGCAGCCGCGGUAAUACGUAGGGUGCAAGCGUUAAUCGGAAUUACUGGGCGUAAAGCGUGCGCAGGCGGUUUGCUAAGACCGAUGUGAAAUCCCCGGGCUCAACCUGGGAACUGCAUUGGUGACUGGCAGGCUAGAGUAUGGCAGAGGGGGGUAGAAUUCCACGUGUAGCAGUGAAAUGCGUAGAGAUGUGGAGGAAUACCGAUGGCGAAGGCAGCCCCCUGGGCCAAUACUGACGCUCAUGCACGAAAGCGUGGGGAGCAAACAGGAUUAGAUACCCUGGUAGUCCACGCCCUAAACGAUGUCAACUAGUUGUUGGGGAUUCAUUUCCUUAGUAACGUAGCUAACGCGUGAAGUUGACCGCCUGGGGAGUACGGUCGCAAGAUUAAAACUUAAAGGAAUUGACGGGGUCAUAGCUGUUUCCU
rnacentral:rRNA from 1 species